rnacentral:rRNA from 1 species
GACGAACGCUGGCGGCGUGCUUAACACAUGCAAGUCGAACGGUGAAGGGACCAGCUUGCUGGUUCUGGAUGAGUGGCGAACGGGUGAGUAACACGUGAGUAACCUGCCCCCUUCUUCUGGAUAACCGCAUGAAGGUGUGGCUAAUACGGGAUAUUCUGGGUCUGUCGCAUGGCGGGCCCGGGAAAGAUAUUGCUUCGGUGGGGGAUGGGCUCGCGGCCUAUCAGCUUGUUGGUGGGGUGAUGGCCUACCAAGGCGGUGACGGGUAGCCGGCCUGAGAGGGUGGACGGUCACACUGGGACUGAGACACGGCCCAGACUCCUACGGGAGGCAGCAGUGGGGAAUAUUGCACAAUGGGCGCAAGCCUGAUGCAGCGACGCCGCGUGAGGGAUGGAGGCCUUCGGGUUGUAAACCUCUUUCGCCAGUGAAGCAGGCCUGCUCCUUGUGGGUGGGUUGACGGUAGCUGGAUAAGAAGCGCCGGCUAACUACGUG